rnacentral:rRNA from 1 species
UACAGAGGGUGCGAGCGUUGUCCGGAAUCACUGGGCGUAAAGGGCGCGUAGGUGGCGACCCAAGUCGAUGGUGAAAGCUCGCCGCUCAACGGCGAGUCGGCCACCGAUACUGGGUUGCUGGAGCACUGUAGAGGCAGAUGGAAUUCCGGGUGUAGCGGUGGAAUGCGUAGAGAUCCGGAAGAACACCGGUGGCGAAGGCGGCUUUCUGGACGGUAACUGGACGCUGAGACGCGAAAGCGUGGGGAGCAAACAGG